UUCUCUUGGGGAAAAAAAAAAAGUUAAAAAGAUAAUAACAUUGAGAGGAGAUUGGGUAAGUAGAAGACUUAAUUCUAGCCAUACAUUUGAGGAGAAACAUGGGAAAUAUAAUUUCAAAUAAAGAGAAUCCAACCAAGAGGUAAUAAUGGUGACCAAAUUUCCCUCCCACCUGAAACUGGUGACUGGCCCACAAGACCAUAUUAAAAUAAUAACCUCUAUAAUUUGGCAUGACGUAGGUGCCCAGGACACAAAAAUAUGGUCUUUAAGACCAUGUAUCUCAGACAAUGAAGGACAGCCAUCCUUAAAAGAUGAGAAGCAAACACUGAGCCUUCUAACAGCCUAGCUUACUGCCUUGGGAGGUUUCCAGCCCACAAGACUUGGAGGGGUAACUCAGGUGGAGCUUGGCAUGGAGAUGGAGUUGAGGCUCUGGAGAGACCAAGGCAGCCCUGUUCUAAGGACAAAGUAUCAGAAAAGAGAGAGCUGCUCAGAGAGAGAAUGACAGAUAUUCUGCAUGGAAACCCCCUCUGGUAUUUAACUUAGUACUGAUCAGCUCAUGCAUGUGAGGAAACUACCUAAGGCUAGAAAAAGAACCACCCGAAAGGAUUUAGAGGAAGAGUGCCCAGUACUUGCAAAAAGUUGGGAAUAGUUCCCAAAAGUCAGAUUGGAAAGGCUCGAGAUUCACAGGCCAUUGGGUAGAGAGUUUCAUAGUGAGGAAACUCAGUAGUGGGGAAUAAUUAGCCCUAGAAUGAGCAUUGAUCCGAUGCACCUAACAAAUCUUAACAGCAAGACCCGGAAGGACCAAACUGCUUCUAAGUACUCGACGGCACCCCACAACAAAGUUCAAGAACACUUCUGAGAAUAAAAUAUAUCCAGCGCCCAAUAAUGUAAAUUUCACAUCUGGCAUCUAAUCAGGCAAGCAAAGAAGACAGAAAAUAUGAUCUGAAGUGAAGAGAAAAAUGUAUCAAUCAAAACAUACCCAGAACAGACACAGAUACUAGAAUUAGCAGACAAGGACAUUACAAUCAUUACUAUAAAUAUAUUCCCUUUGUUCAAAAAGUUAAGUAGAAUGAUGGAAGAUAUAAAAAAGACCCACAUCCCACUUCUAGAGGUGAAAACAUCAAUGUGUGAAAUGGAAAACUCACUAGAUGGGAUGAGUGUCAGAUUAAAUAUUAGAGGAGAAAAAAUUAAUAAACUUGAAGACAUAGCAAUAGAAACUACCCAAAAUGAAACACAGAGAGAAAAGAGACUCAAAAAGAAUAGUUCAUCCUUGAGCUGUGAGAAAAUGUCAAGCGGCCAAUACAUGUAAUUGGAGUCUCCAAAUGAGGGGGGGGGGGGAAAUUAUGUGAAGAAAAAUGGUUGAAAGUAUUGAAAAUCUGAUGAAAACUGUAAACCAAUAGAUACAGGAAGUUCUACAAAUCCCAUCUCUAGAAACAUGAAGAAAAUAACACCGGGACACAUUAUAACCAAAUUCUUCAACACCAGUGAUACAGAGAAAAUCUUAAAAACAGAGGAAAAAGAUAAACUCCAUAUCUUAAUAUAUGAAAAAGGAUCAGAGAUAAAGAAUCAAAGAUGAAGAAACAAAGAUGAAGAUCACAGCAGGUUUCUGCUCAGAAGCAACUCAGUGAGGAGACGGAAGAGAAAAUCUCUGAAGAAAAAUAGACAAAUCUAUAUAAAGGCAAUCAUGUAUAGUUAGUAACAUGUAUUUAGAAAAGAAACUAAAUUAUUUAAAUACAGCAAAUUGUGUUGGAUGCUAAGGAGACUACAAAAACCUUAGACCCCUCAGCUACAUUGCAAAAGGCUUAUAUAAAUAAUCACUACUUAUUCUUCUAACUCUAGCUUUUAUGGCUUUAUUUGUUUUAACUGGUCCACAAAUCCAUAUUAAAAUAAUAAUAAUAAAUUCUAUAAUUUGGUGUGACCCAGGUAUCCAGGGUACAAAAUAAAAAGUACCAGAUUCCUGGGCUUGGGAAAUACACAAAUCUACCUUAAAUCUUUUUUUUUUUUUUUGGAUCUGGGUGUCUGUAAAUAAAUAACAAUGAAUAGUACAGGCCACAUGGUAAGUACUAGAACAGAGGCAUGUUUUACCUGGGGAGAUAAAACUACACAGAUGAGGUGGCACUUGAACACUGAGGUUAAGGAGAUCCCUCCACCCUGCAAAGGAUACAGGCAGGGAUGCAGUGCAGGCUGUGCCAGGACACAGGUGCCAAAGAGCCUUCAAAUCUCUAUGGUGAAUGCAAACGUCAAGAGUGCAUCUUGGAAACUGGUAUCCAAGGAAGCUUGACCUUCCAACAGGUCACCGAUUCAAUUAUGAAGGGAUUUCCAUGUCAUGUAAACAGACUGGUUUCCAAUCUGUAGGAAGCAAGGAACAAUGAAAGGAUUUACUUGUAGUAUAAAAAGAAUUUGUGUUUUUAUAUAAAAAUAUGAAGGAUAAUGCAAUAGCUUCCCCUGAGUCAUCCAUCCAAAUUUUCUCGUCUUAUGAAAUGAUUUUAAGUAGAGGAGUAAUAAGUAAAUGAUCAUGUUAGCGUUCUGAACAUAUCACAAGGGUAGCAAUAUGUGUGGAUGAUUGGAAGAUGGAAGAUAAGGAAUAACAUUUUGCAACAUUGCAGAGAAGAAAUCAUCCCCUAGGACUUCCCUGGUGGUGCAGUGGUUAAGAAUCCACCUGCCAAUGCAGGGGACACGGAUUCGAGCCCUGGUCUUGGAAGAUCCCACAUAUGGCGGAGCAACUAAGCCCGUGCACCACAACUACUGAGCCUGCGCUCUAGAGCCCGUGAGCCACAACUACUGAAGCCCACGUGCCACAACUACUGAAGCCCACGCGCCUAGAGCCCGUGCUCCACAACAAGAGAAGCCACCACAAGGACAACACUGCGCACUGCAAUGAAGAGUAGUCCCCGCUCGCCGCAACUACAGAAAGCCGGAGGGCAGCAACGAAGACCCAACGCAGCCAAAAACAAAUAAAUAAAGAAAUAAGUUUAUUUAAAAAAAAUACUCAUUAGAAAAACAAAGAAAUCAUCCCCUAAACUAAAGCAAUGGCAAUGGGGGUAGAUAGGGGCAUCCAAGCUAGAUAUACUUAGGAUUGUAAAAUUGAAAGAGGACUUCCCUGGCAGUCCAGUGGUUAAGGCUCCACACUUCCACUGCAGGGGGAUACAGGUUCGAUCCCUGGUCGGGGAACUAAGAUCCCACAUGCCAUGCCGUGCUUCUUUUUGGGGAAAUCAAAGAUUUUUUUUUUCAAUAUCAGAAUGUUAUUCAAGAUGGGCUCAAAUGCUGAGGUGGGGGAAAGAAUAUUUUAGUUGGAAGGACUUGGAUAAGAAAUGGUACAGAAUCAGGAAGGGCCACAUAACAUCUCAAAAACAGCAACCACCCUAGUGGGACUUAAAAAAAGUGUCCUCACCAGGGAGGAAAAAGAAGGAGAAAGAGGCUGAUGUGGACGAAGGGCUUUAAACUGCCAGCCAAGAUGUGGGGAAUCAUUGGCAGUGUCUGAACGGGAGACAGGGUAUGUGGUUUAGGAUGGUUGAGAGGGAAGAGGCAGGGAGCUUGGUUACUAAACUGUCACAAUUGUCCAUCUGAUGGGUAAUAAAUAAAGGAGCUGGCAUGGUAGCAGUUGGAGCAGACAGAUGCGAGAGACAUCACAGAAGCAACGUGUUAGGGAGGGAAAAAAAUGUUGUAGGAUUUCUGGAAAGCCAGAAAGCCUCAGGCUCUAAAUUAUUAGGUCCUCUUCAAGUUUCCUCUUGUUAUCCAUGAACUCCAGCCUGGAGUUAGUAAUCUGGGCCUAUUCAUGCCAGCAUGUCACAAAAAGAUAUAUAAGGAGAUACAGAAGUUCACAAAUAGGCAUGUACAUAGAUAUAAAGAUACACAGAUAGACAGAUACCAAGCUACAUCGACUGAUCCAGGCACAGCGCAUAAUUGGAAGGAUACCUGUUUGUUAUCCCAGAAUUCAAACAUACCUUACAAGGAGGGAGAAAAUGUUGCAAACGUUGGCUCCAGAUUCUUCUAAAGAACUGGGUGAUAGGUCAGAACGUGAGUGGGAUGAACAAGGGUUCAAGCUUUUCCAAACCAGUUCUUCUAUCUCUCCAUGACAGAGCAUUACCAGUAUAACAGGCUUGCCUGUUGAUGGAACGUAAAGACAUACCUACUCCUUCCCAGAUGCCCUGAGUCCAUUUAUGUGCACACAGAAACCCAGUCCUAAGCUCUCUUCCUAAACACACACCAAUGGUACAGUGAGCGACGUUCCAUUGUGCGGUCAACCAUGCUAGGGCUUCGAGCCUCUGGGAAGUUCCAGGCGUUUCCAAGCCUCCGGCUCAGGACACUUACACUACCUCUAAAACUUUCAUGAGAGCUAUAAUCCCCCGCUAAAGGCAAGCAACAGCAAUCUGAUGGCGAAGGCAGUUUGCAUAUUUCAUCAGUGCAACGAUCCCACUCUCAGGCGCCAGGUUCUUUGUUAUGGAAGCACUCUCGAAUUACGAGGUAGCUAAGUUGGGUUUAUUAGUUCAUGCUUAUGAUAACAUAGUAAUAGCAAUUAAUUCAAUCACGUUCAAAGGAAAUAGCAUAAGGAUCCUACACUGUGAUUUAGAAGGCAGAGGUAAUUAUAGCUCUACCCGAUAAUUGUAUGGUGGAUCUAUCUCUGUAAGCCUGCCACUGGACGAUGCUAUGCAGCUUUCAUUGGGGAACCUGGGAGCCAAGGCAAACUUCAGGGGCAUUAACCCAUAAAAACCUGAACUUCUGCUGGAAAAACAAAGUGAAGAUCUCAUCUCUGGUGAUUUUAACGAGAAGGACAAAAAGGAUUUAAAAGGAAGAAGAUGAAUACGGCAGGUAAUGGGAACUCAUCUAGGAAGAAAAUUCUUAGUUCCUCCUAAUUGAUUUUGAAUUGAGUGAACAGCAUCUUGUUAAGACUUCCUCUAUGGGGAGGUAGUCUCUGGCCCCUUGUAUCUGGCUACCUGCCAAAAUAACUCCCCUUGCCCUGUUCUGCUGUUCUCACACGAGAAUGAAACAGCUUGGCAUUAGAGUCACAACCUGGGUUUGAAUAUUGCCUACUUGCCAGUGAAUGAUUUUAGAUAAAUUACCUGCCCCGUCAAUGUCAGUUUUCUCAUCUCUAAAUUGGAACAAAUAACUAACUUCAAUUAUUAAUGAGGUAGCAUGUAAAAAUGCUAAGCGAACUCUAAAUACCAAAAAAAUCAUUCUACCAUAUAUUUGUUACCUGCUACACUGUGAUCAUAGGAAUGCAACAGUAUUAUAUCAGAAACACUGAAAUGUUUUUAAUCAGAAGUUUAUGAAAACUAGUAUGUAUUACUUUCUAAACAAUCAUAUUUAAAAUUUUUGCUAUCAUCCCUGUUACAGGAGCUCCAUUUCAGCUGGUUAUUAAUGAAGACGCUAUGUAAGAAGGCUAUAUGAAGAAAUAGUUGCAUAGCUAAGUACAAAAAUAUUAUGUAGUCAACCAUGGUUACUGCCUAGAUGAUGAAACAAAGUAUGCCUGAACUGAAAUAUAAACAUCUCUAACAUUGUGGUCUACAAUAAACUUUCAUGUCUCAGGAGAGGAGGUUAGAUGGGAUUCUCUCACUAGUCUUAAAAUAUUUGUCUAUCAGAUUAGCAUAUUUGUAAUAACGUGUGGAACACUAAUAUCAUUUCCUGUUAUAAAGAAACAAAACUAACUAGAUCUUGAUGUUCAUUUCCCCAAAAUAUCUGACCCCCAAAGAAGAUGUUUUCAGUUUAUGAAAGGGGACAUGAAAUGAGAAUGGGCAAGAAAGAAACUAAUAAGCGAUGUCUGGGGUUAAGACUCUUUAGAAAUUUUCUUAGGGCUUUGGAACCAGACAAGUGUCUGCUCAAACCUGACACCAAACUUAACCUCCCCCAGUCCCCAGCCAAUUUGGAUGAAAAUCAGCUUUGCUUUAGGCUUAGCUAUAUAAGAAUCUGUAUUGUCAUUCCUAGACCUGUUUAAGCCCUUUUAAUAGAUCAAGUCAGGAUGGUACCUUCAUAAUUUAGUGUUGUGAAUAGUGCAAAUAAAGCCUUCAAUGGCAUCUAAUCAGAACAUUUUCUUUUCUCUUCCCUAAGACCAUUAUUCCAUAGAGGUCCAGAUUUCCCCAGCCUGUCAGUCAUUACAACUACAAGCUGCCCAAGCUCAUUUGAAAGCCAUCAAGUAGCUAAUUUGCCAAGAUGGAUUCAAAAGACAUGAGACAGCUUACGGUUGUGGUCUCUCUGACCCCUCCCACACAAAGCAGCGUUCUGAAGCCCGCGGGGAAUUUCUUUUGCUGAUGGCGGGCUAUUGUUUAAACACUGAUUGCCUCUUUUUUCUGUCAUUCACUUUUUUCCCCUUCCCUGAACUCCGCCACCAUCAGUCACAGACUUCAUUCAUAGCCCACCGGCUGAAAGUUCCGUGCUCAACACACUGACAAAAUAAGCCAUUUAUAGGUCAGAGCUAGAGGAGAAAAAAAUCACACUCGUAGAUAUUAACGAAGCCUUGAGUGAAUUUUUCUUAUCGACUCAAAAGACUUAUGUGCUUUUUAUGCCAAUGAACUCUGGCAUAUACAACAGAAAAUGAGGCAAUUCAUGUUAAAGUAAUUUCAUAAUGCCAAAAAAAAGAACUAUACAGAUACAAGGUAUUUGAGAAGUAUAUGGUAUAUUUCAUUAGGGUCUAAAGAGACCCUGGACCAUUUUCCCCAGCCUACUUUGCACAGAGCAAGUACUAGGGAUUGGUGGUCCAGACAAGGGACAGAGAUUUUAGAAUCAGACCUAGGUGUGUGAAUUGUGAGUUGAUCCCUUAUUCGUGAUCCUGGAAAACUUACUUAAUUUCCCUGGGCCUCAAUUCCCUAUUCGAAUAAAAGGGGGGUAACAUUACCUACCUCGCGGUGUUGCUGGGAGUGAUAAUGAACUAAUUUACAUAAAAUAUUUCACAAUCUCUGGCAGGUCACGAACUAUCAGUGAAUAGUAGCUAUUACUGUUACUGUUUUAUUGUUACUAUUUCUUUCUAUUCUGUGCAGUAGAAGCUACUUUUCUCAUAGAAGGUAACACAGAAGAGUAAUAAUAAUAAACACAUCUGUGAUAUUAACUAUGUGCCAUGCAUAGUUAAUGGAUCAUUCUAUAAAGAAACUGAGGCAUGGAGAGGGAAAGUAAGGUGCCCAAAGUUACAUAAUUAGUAAGUGGGGAAGCUGGAAUUGAACCCAAGCAGUCUGGCUGCAUUACUCUCUGAAAUAAAUUUAUUCUAAAUGCAGGUAGGUAUCUGCCACACUGGCGGUACUUACAGUUCUAAGAAACAGAAACACACUGAAACAAACAUGAAAUCAAAGAGUUGAUUGUAAGCCCAACAGAGACCCUUGAGACCAUGAAACUCAGGUUCCUAGUCAUGACAUCCGAGAGCUAGAACCAGAGACUAGUUCUGACUUCAAGGCAUUUCAGAAGCAACAGUUGUACCCACACUGUGCAGCUUCUCCCGUUUCCAUCUUCAGAACCAAGCCCCUACUUUCUCCAAUAAAUCUUUCAAUUCUGUUCCCCUGCAGUUCAGUUCCUCCAUAAUCCAACUGGAUAUUCCAAGGAAAGGAAUCAUCAUGAUGCAGUUUAAGGGGUGAUGUCUGUCCCUGGACCAAUCAGCUCUGCCUCAAGAAUCAGGGUCCACACCACAUACAUCACUGCCAAUAUUCUCUUAGAAGCUUAAGGGAAAAGAACUAUCUACAGGGAUCCUGGCUGAUACAGAAUGUCAGAUGGUGAUAGUAUGAUGGAGAAAAAAAUAAUAGAGUGGAGAAAGGGGACAGGAAGUGCUGAGGAAUCUCUCCACAGCACAAUGGUGUGCUUUCCACAUCAAUAAUCACAAGUAUUAGGUUGACGGAGGCAGAUAACCAGGGAUGUACACCACCAAGAAUGCCCAUUUCUCAGGGCACCAUUACAUGGUGUAUCGUGGCCAGAGCGCUGGAUCUGAAAGCAAAGGCCUGAGUCUUAUCCCAUCUCUGUCUGCGAUGAGAGCAAGUUCCAUCCUACCGGUGCAUGUCCACGUCCCCAUCCAAGAAAGGAGACAGUUGGAUUGUAUUCAUAGGUAUUAAACUGUGCACCUCAGAAGUGUUAUUAAGCGUUUCUUGAAAGACUUGUGCGGUCAAAUAAUUUGGGGGUAUCACUGAAUUUCACACGCACACACAGAGCACAUUCUUGGAGAUUUGCAAUAUGCGUUCACGUAUCAAAUGCCUCCUUGAGACACUCUGAAAAACGUUUACAACAAAUAAAUUGAUUUAGUAAUGUUUCCCAAACAUAUUUCCCCAAGAAUACUAUGUGUGUUCAAAUAGUUCAGGUAGCGCUGGACAAAAGUUUUCAAAGGGCCUUCCAACUACCAUCAGGCCCGCCCCGUCAGGUGAGCCAGGCUUGUUACUGGUGUCAGAGGCUAGUGGCUAAAUCUGGGGCCUAAGAAACAGACGACCUGGGCUCAGACCCAUAGCUUCUCUGCUUCCUUGCUUUGUGACCUCAGUUCUGUUAUUUAACUUCUCUGUACUUGGUUCCUUCACUGUAAAACUGAGAUAAUAAUAUCAUCUGUUUCUUAGGGUCGUUAUGAGGAUUGAAUGAGUUAACAAAAUAUAUCAAACUCUUAGCAGAUUACCUAAGCCCUAGUAAGUGCUAUAGACGUGUUAGCCUUGUUGUUCAAUAUUAUAAACCCUUGUCAGAUGCAAUGAUCUAAGAGAAGGAAGAUUAGGUGAAGGAAAUUGAUGUUUACAGAGCAUCUACUGUAUGUCCGUGAUGUACAUACGUAAUCUCAUAAACCGUCAUAAUAAAACUGAGAUCAAAAUAUAAUUAUUUCAUUUUACAGUGAGUAAAAUAAAACUCUGAGACGCUAAGGAAUUUGCCUUUUAUUACCCAGAUAUUAAGAUGAAAAAUUAACCCCCAAAUUCAGGUAUCCCUGACUUCAAAACUCAAGUUCUUUCCACCACAUUAUACUGCUAUAAAGGGUGAAAAGGAAUAAACUUUCCAUCAUUUAAUAGAUGAAGAAAUAAGGUAGACAAACUAAAAUAGAUCCUAGGAUCAUGAGGUAAGAUUCAAAUUGAAAAGCUAUCCAUAUUCUGUCAACCAGCCCUAUAAUGUAUUCAUUACUGGACCCUAAAAGUAGAAGGAACUGUGAAAAGGAAAGAAGGGACUAUCUCUAAUUUUGAUCUGGUUACAAUUUUUUUAAUUAAGGAUACUUUAUCUCUUAAUUCAGUACCUACUGUAUGGAUUAUGUCCCAUUUUAGCAGAGAUUUGGCUCUCCCCUACCUAACUCAGAUUAUGUUUUUAGAGAUGCAUAGGUUUGAAGUAGACAUUUAAAGGUCAAAUUAAUUCUACUGCCUCCAGAAAGGAUUGGAUCAAAAUAAUUCUCAAACGAUAAUCCUUCACCCUAUUCUACUUUUACAUAUUCAGAGAGGAAAAUUCUGUGACUUUGAUUUAAAAAAAUCAAAUAUUAAUAAUAUAUUUAAAAUUUCAUAACAUGCAAAGACCUUUGAGACAUUUGUGAAAAUAAAAACACAUUCAUCAAAAAAAAUGAGAAAAAUAAAAUAAGAAGAUGAAUUGAUUUUCCUUGAUGGAGUACAGUAUUGCGCACUAAGAACUGAAAUUCAGGACGCAGGGCUUGGGGAAGUAAUUUAUUGGAUAUUAAUCUUCCCUUUUCGCCAGCAAGGCACAACUUUACUUAGAUAUGUCUGUUGCAUCCAAAGUUUUAAAAUAUGGGUCAAGAAUAUAGCUGUGCCACGUAUCCCAGACUGCUAUUCUGCUUGGUUCAUCUUAUCACUGAAACUGGUUUUUUUAUAGCAAUGUCAAAGAUGAUAGAGUUUAGGGACUUCCCUGGUGGCACAGUGGUUAAGAAUCCACCUGCCAGUGCAGGGGACACGGGUUCGAUCCCUGGUCUGGGAAGAUCCCACAUGUCACAGAGCACCUAAGCCCGUGAGCCACAACUACUGAGCCUGCGAGCCACAACUACUGAGCCCGUGGGCCACAACAACUGAGCCCACGGGCCACAACUACUGAGGCCCUCGUGCCUAGAGC